rnacentral:lncRNA from 1 species
AGCAGCAAGCUCGCCUGGAGACUGGCGUGCUCAUAUCUAAAGGAGCAUGCGCGUAUAGCGGCUUGCAUGCUCGUAUGUAGAGCAACGGUCUCACACGGAGACUGGCAUGCUUAUGUGUCAAAGGAGCAUGCGCGUAUAGCGACCUACAUGCUCAUGUGUGGAGCGUCAGGCUCGCAUGGAGACUGAGAUGAUCGUAUGUAGAACACCAGACUCGUAUGGAGACCGACGUGCUGGUAUGUAAAAGAGCUUGCGCGCAUGGCGACUUACGUGCUUAUAAGUAAUGGAGCAUGCGCGCGUGGCGACUUACGUGCUCGUAUGUAAAACAGCAUGCGCGUAUGGCGACUUACGUGCUCGUAUGUAGAGGAGCGUCAGGCUCGCAUGGAGACUGAGAUGGUCGUAUGUAGAACCCCAGACUCGUAUGGAGACCGACGUGCUGGUAUGUAAAAGAGCUUGCGCGCAUGGUGACUUAUGUGCUCAUAAGUAAUGGAGCGUGCGUGCGUGGCGUCUUACGUGCUCGUAUGUAAAAGAGCAUGCGCGUAUGGCAACUUACGUGCUCGUAUGUAGAGGAGCAUGCGCGUAUGGCGCAUGUGUGCUCGCUUGUAAGUAAAGGAGCGUGCGCGCGUGGCGACUUACGUGCUCGUAUGUAAAAGAGCAUGCACGUAUGGCGACUUACAUGCUCGUAUGUAGAGGAGCAUGCGCGUAUGGCGCAUGUGUGCUCGCUCGUAAGUAAAGGAGCAUGCGCGCGUGACGACUUACGUGCUCGUAUGUAAAAGAGCAUGCACGUAUGGCGACUUACGUGCUCGUAUGUAGAGGAGCAUGCGCGUAUGGCGCAUGUGUGCUCGCUCGUAAGUAAAGGAGCAUGCGCGCGUGGCGACAUACGUGCUCGUAUGUAAAAGAGCAUGCGCGUAUGGCGACUUACGUGCUCGUAUGUGGAGGAGCAUGCGCGUAUGGCGCAUGUGUGCUCGCUCAUAAGUAAAGGAGCAUGCGCGCGUGGCGACUUACGUGCUCGUAUGUAAAAGAGCAUGCGCGUACGACGACUUAAGUGCUCGUAUGUAGAGGAGCAUGCGCGUAUGGCGCAUGUGUGCUCGCUCGUAAGUAAAGGAGCAUGCGCGCGUGGCGACAUACAUGCUCGUAUGUAAAAGAGCAUGCGCGUAUAGCGACUUACGUGCUCGUAUGUAGAGGAGCAUGUGCGUAUGGCGCAUGUGUGCUCGCUCGUAAGUAAAGGAGCAUGCGCGCGUGGCGACUUACGUGCUCGUAUGUAAAAGAGCAUGCGCGUACGGCGACUUACGUGCUCGUGUGUAGAGGAGCAUGCGCGUAUGGCUCAUGUGUGCUCGCUCGUAAGUAAAGGAGCAUGCGUGCGUGGCGACUUACGUGC